UUUUUUUUCAAAUUUCAUGUUUUAGAUUUUGUCAAAAUUGGGAUGCAAUCCAGACUGGGCAAAUAAUAGAAGUGUCUGCCAGUCACCUUGCUGUACAGCUGCACCCAUGCACUAUUAAUAAGGAAAAGUGGCCAGAAUCUGGGAAAUCAGGCUAGGAACCAGAAAAUUCAUUGUCGAAGCACAGCUGAAUAUCUCCCCAGCAUAUUUCCCGGUGUUCAGUGCCACCUCCUCUUACACCAAAAUGGAGAGUAUUGUUGAGCCACAGGGUGUUGAUAAUAGAUUCUGGUGUCUGGGAGCCUAGCUGACCUUUUUGGUAGAGGAAAUCUCUUAUUCAUGGUACUUGGAGAGUAUAUUGCUGGUGGAACAUUGAAAUUAGGAUCAUUACUUUGUAUCUCGGAACAAAGCGGACCACGAAGCAAAUCAUGCGUAUUGGAAGCAGGAGCUGGUCCCAUACAGAAUGGAUCAGUUAGCGGCACAUUGUCUGGAGUAAACUGGUUACUUGUUGGGAUACUAACAUAAGGGUCUUCACAUAUCUGACUAAUUUGAUUUUGUGGAUAGUUCAGUGGAGGACAGACAUCAGAUGAGAUCUGAGUGUUUAAUGGCAAAAAACCUGCAGUUGAAGUGCUAUUACUUUCAAGACUAGUAAAGUUUUCCAGGGGUUUUCUUUCAAACUCUUCAAAGAGUAGAUUUAAGUCAAAGUCCAUAUUAUCAUCUGGCAGUCCCUUGACUAAUUCAUGCCUGGCUGCUGUGAGGAUAGUUCCAUCAUCAAAUAACUGAACCUUGUAAAUCUGAUAAGUGCCUAAGGGUCUGACUAUAUCUACAAUUUUUCCUUUUCGACCUGCGCUGCCAAUCUGCACAGUAUCGUUAAGUUUAAACUGGACAAGCUCUAUUGUUGACAUUUUUUGACAGCGUUCCCGUUUAUAACCUUCAAGGGAAGUAACUGUGUAUUGAAUAUCAAGGGAAGUCACUACAGCAGGACAUUUAUGAUAAAAUGUGUGAUAACUAGAGAUUCUGUGAUGUUUUUGCCUUUUCCUUGUGUGUAAUUUAAUUUUAUCUAUUUAAUUAUAUGUAUGGAUUUUAUAUACAGAUAAAGAAAGAUUAAGAAAUCGAU